rnacentral:rRNA from 1 species
UACGUAGGUGGCAAGCGUUGUCCGGAAUUAUUGGGCGUAAAGCGCGCGCAGGCGGUCUUUUAAGUCUGAUGUGAAAGCCCACGGCUCAACCGUGGAGGGUCAUUGGAAACUGGAGGACUUGAGUACUGAAGAGGAAAGUGGAAUUCCACGUGUAGCGGUGAAAUGCGUAGAGAUGUGGAGGAACACCAGUGGCGAAGGCGACUUUCUGGUCAGUAACUGACGCUGAGGCGCGAAAGCGUGGGGAGCAAACAGG